UACGCAGGGUGCAAGCGUUGUCCGGAAUUAUUGGGCGUAAAGAGCUCGUAGGCGGUUUGUUGCGUCGGCUGUGAAAUCCCGAGGCUCAACCUCGGGUCUGCAGUCGAUACGAGCAAACUAGAGUGUUGCAGGGGAGACUGGAAUUCCUGGUGUAGCGGUGAAAUGCGCAGAUAUCAGGAGGAACACCGGUGGCGAAGGCGGCAACCUGGGCCAAUAUUGACGCUGAGGUGCGAAAGCGUGGGGAGCAAACAGG
rnacentral:rRNA from 1 species